rnacentral:snoRNA from 1 species
CUAGGCACAGUGUCAAGAACUUUAUCUUUUGCUGAGUUGAUAAUAAACCCCAGCUUAGGAAACAAGGUUGUUCUUUAUGUGGAUGACUCUGACAAAAGCAUGGGAAUAGCC